CCCAAAGUGGGCCAAUUGCGACUCUGCAAUCAUUUUCUUCCCGUCUACACUCAUGUGACCAGCAACUGGCUGACCUGUGAGGAGCCGGAGCUCAAGCAGGCUAUCAUCAAAGCCCUUGGUCCCAUGAUGAGCCUCCUGCUACACAAAGAGGAGUAUCAAGAUCAGAUAUUUGAACACCUCUCAUGGCUCCUUGAGCAAUAUAAUGAAAACACUGAUGUUUUUCACGUCACCAAGAGUCUGAGCCAGCUCUUGGAGGUCUCUGGUGAAUAUAAGAUCCCUCUCCCUGACGGGAAGUUUCAAGCCAUCUGCAGUGCUCUGCAUAACCAGGUGAGGGGUGGUUUUGCUUGGAUCCCUUGAGCUUAGGCACAGCAGAUCUGAA